AACCCAUGUUGUGGACACUUCUGCAAGGGGCCUUGAAUCUCUCCUAAGUCUCAAACAAGGAUUCAAACUCCAUCUGUACAAAUGAACAUAUCUCAUUACGAAGCUU